rnacentral:rRNA from 1 species
AGCGAACGCUGGCGGCAGGCUUAACACAUGCAAGUCGAGCGGGCAUCCUUGUGGUGUCAGCGGCAGACGGGUGAGUAACGCGUUGGAACGUGCCCUUCGGUUCGGAAUAACUCAGGGAAACUUGAGCUAAUACCGGAUACGCCCUUUUGGGGAAAGGUUUACUGCCGAAGGAUCGGCCCGCGUCUGAUUAGCUAGUUGGUGAGGUUAUGGCUCACCAAGGCGACGAUCAGUAGCUGGUCUGAGAGGAUGAUCAGCCACACUGGGACUGAGACACGGACCAGACUCCUAAGGGAGGAAGCAGUGGGGAAUAUUGGACAAUGGGGGCAACCCUGAUCCAGCCAUGCCGCGUGAGUGAUGACGGCCUUAGGGUUGUAAAGCUCUUUUCUCCGGGACGAUAAUGACGGUACCGGAGGAAUAAGCCCCGGCUAACUUCGUG